rfam:Clostridium baratii str. Sullivan, complete genome.
AAUUUUUGAGGUGAGCAAGGGCUCCUCACGCGCUAAUUUCUUUAGUAAACAGAGAUGUAGGAUACGCCGACCUACCAGAAAUA